GGGGGCGUAUUGGAUUCGACCUGGCCAGUGCGCUCACGGCGGCAUGCCGAGGAUGGUCCGUUGGCCUCGUUAAUCAUCGGACCAAAACCAAACUGCCAACGAAGAAUUGGCUCUCGCGGCCUAAGUUUCCGCGACGUCCGCCGCCCGACCCCUGCUAGGGCGAUGCGGGCGACGACAGCAGGGUAGGUUGAGUGCGGGGUCUGCGCGUACUCAGCCGAAAUCUCCACAGCGGACUGGGAUCGUCGGCUCGUGUUGGGCCGUGACCGGCGGUCCGAGAUUGCCCGCCCAACUAAGCAUGUAGGCGUCGUGAGUGGAUGGGUCAGGGACGCGGGUUCGAUUCCCGCCGCCUCCACCA
rnacentral:tmRNA from 1 species